CUAAAAGUAAGCAAGGGCGCAUGGCGGAUGCUUGGCUCUCGGAGGCGAUGAAGGACGUGAUAAGCUGCGAUAAGCUGCGGGUAGGUGCAAAUAACCUUUGAUCCGCGGAUUUCCGAAUGGGACAACCCGGUAUGUUGAAGACAUAUCAUCCAUCUUAGAUGGAGGCUAACACAGGGAACUGAAACAUCUUAGUACCUGUAGGAAAAGAAAAUAAAUAAUGAUUCCCCUAGUAGUGGCGAGCGAACGGGGAAUAGCCCAAACCAUUCAUGUUACGGCAUGAAUGGGGUUGUAGGACCACGUCGUGGGACGACAGUUAGUGAGUAGAAUGAUCUGGAAAGUUCAGUCAUAGACGGUGAUAACCCGGUAUACUAAGCUAAUUUAACCCUAGUGGUAUCCUGAGUAGCGCGGGACACGAGGAAUCUUGCGUGAAUCUGCCGGGACCAUCCGGUAAGGCUAAAUACUCCCGAGAGACCGAUAGCGAACCAGU
rnacentral:rRNA from 1 species